GUCUUUGUAGAGUACGCAACUCGCUCCCGCUUCAUACAUAGUUCGCACAUAUGGAAUAAGGGAGAGUCGGUGGUUCGACCCCACCCGAAGACU